rnacentral:rRNA from 1 species
GAUGCACCAGUGGGGAAUAUUGGGCAAUGGGCGGAAGCCUGACCCAGCGACGCCGCGUGAGGGAUGAAGGCCUUCGGGUUGUAAACCUCUUUCAGCAGGGAAGAAGCGAAAGUGACGGUACCUGCAGAAGAAGCACCGGCUAACUAUGUGCCAGCAGCCGCGGUAAUACAUAGGGUGCAAGCGUUGUCCGGAAUUAUUGGGCGUAAAGAGCUCGUAGGUGGCUCGUCACGUCGAAUGUGAAACCCUGAGGCUCAACCUCAGGCCUGCAUCCGAUACGGGCGAACUGGAGUGUGGUAGGGGAGACUGGAAUUCCUGGUGUAGCGGUGGAAUGCGCAGAUAUCAGGAGGAACACCAAUGGCGAAGGCAGGUCUCUGGGCCACUACUGACACUGAGGAGCGAAAGCGUGGGGAGCAAACAGGAUUAGAUACCCCCGUA